AACGAACGCUGGCGGCAGGCCUAACACAUGCAAGUCGAGCGAGGACUUCGGUUCUAGCGGCGGACGGGUGAGUAACGCGUGGGAAUGUGCCCUUCUCUACGGAAUAGCCCUGGGAAACUGGGAGUAAUACCGUAUACGCCCUAUUGGGGAAAGAUUUAUCGGAGAAGGAACAGCCCGCGUUGGAUUAGGUAGUUGGUGGGGUAAUGGCCUGCCAAGCCGACGAUCCAUAGCUGGUUUGAGAGGAUGAUCAGCCACACUGGGACUGAGACACGGCCCAGACUCCUACGGGAGGCAGCAGUGGGGAAUCUUAGACAAUGGGGGCAACCCUGAUCUAGCCAUGCCGCGUGAGUGAUGAAGGCCUUAGGGUUGUAAAGCUCUUUCAGCUGGGAAGAUAGUGACGGUACCAGCAGAAGAAGCCCCGGCUAACUCCGUG
rnacentral:rRNA from 1 species